rnacentral:sRNA from 1 species
CGUGGUGUCUAUGGACAGCUUGGCCUUGUCCAUGGCUGUAAGGACAGCUUGUCUAUGUACUCGAGAAGCCAUAAGCAGUCCCCGGAUGGAGAUGUCUGCUUGUAUCUUUUUCAAUUGUCUCAACACGGCCUCAUCUUCGAGUUGCUUCUCCUUUUGUUUCUCUGCUUCAUUGUCUUUCCCAGACGCCUCUGGCUGAUCUAGGUGUGGAGGCUUGAAAUACCGUCCACUCCUAGUCAUGUGAUCGACUUCGCCGAUAUACCAGGUAUCAUCUGGUUGGUUACCUUUCCAAUCCUCGUCCGUGUGGGCAAGACAUAGAUCGUCGUCUUCCCACCACAUACCAUCUGCGACUGACAAGCAUCUGUCUGGUUCUGGCACAACUGUCCCGAUACUCACAGUACCUUUUAUCCCUAUGUUCACAGCAUCCUCCAUUUCCGUACUUGCGGCGGUUUCGACCCCUACG